rnacentral:rRNA from 1 species
ACGACGGGUAGCCGGCCUGAGAGGGUGGUCGGCCACGCGGGCACUGAGACACGGGCCCGACUCCUACGGGAGGCAGCAGGGGGGAAUCUUGGGCAAUGGGCGAAAGCCUGACCCAGCGACGCCGCGUGGGGGAAGAAGGCCUUCGGGUCGUAAACCCCUGUUCUGGAGGAAGAACCCAGGGUAGGUGAAUAACCUAUCCUGGCUGACGGUACUCCAGGAGAAAGCCACGGCUAACUGCGUGCCAGCAGCCGCGGUAAUACGCAGGUGGCGAGCGUUGCCCGUAAAGGGUGCGUAGGCGGCCGGACAAGUCAUAGGUUAAAGCCCGGAGCUCAACUCCGGAAAGGCCUAUGAUACUGUCUGGCUUGAGGGCCGGAGAGGCUGGCGGAAUUCCCGGUGUAGGGGUGAAAUCCGUAGAUAUCGGGAGGAACACCGGUGGGGAAGCCGGCCAGCUGGACGGUUCCUGACGCUGAGGCACGAAAGCGUGGGGA